CCCUCAAUCAUCCGAAUGUAAGAAGUAAAUGGGUGUUCCACAAACGCAACAAGUUAAGCCCAGAGAUUUGUGAUCAUAACUUAAAAAUUUUAAAUGUCGAUGCUAAGUAUGGUGGAGCCACACAUGACUCUUAUAUGGUCAUCCAGCCAAGUAGAACCAUACAUGCAUGGGCUUCAUCAAAAUGGUGAACAAACAGGCUAUUAGGUGAUUCUGGAUACCCACAAAGAGCCUGGCUAAUGAUGUCUAUCUUAAAUGCUGCACCAGGGUCACCAGAAGAGAAUUACACCAGGCGUCAUAUCCAGGCCACGAAUUGUAUUGAACGGUGUUUUGGCUUGCUGAAGACACGUUGAAGAAGUUUACUUAAGCACUGAACACUUCAUUAACAUCUCCAAGUCACCAGUAAAAUAGUAAUUGCGUGUGGUGCGCUGCAUAACAUUGCAUUGAAUGCUAAAUUACCCCCACCAGGUGAUAUGGCUGCGCAACGUGAUGAUGAGGAUCUACCUGUAGUAGCCAAG